UAAUAAGUGUUUUAUGGCACUUUUUAAAUCCAUAUCCACCUUGUGUGCAAUGUCAGUCGAUCUUCUUUUAUGGAGGAUCGACCAAACAUCAACCUUUAUCUUUUAACUCUUUGUCUUAAAAAUAUUAUGAAUAAACAAUUCAAAAUA
rnacentral:misc_RNA from 1 species